rnacentral:rRNA from 1 species
GACGAACGCUGGCGGCGUGCUUAACACAUGCAAGUCGAACAGAAAGGCCCUGCUUUUGUGGGGUGCUCGAGUGGCGAACGGGUGAGUAACACGUGAGUAACCUGCCCUUGACUUUGGGAUAACUUCAGGAAACUGGGGCUAAUACCGGAUAGGAGCUCCUGCUGCAUGGUGGGGGUUGGAAAGUUUCGGCGGUUGGGGAUGGACUCGCGGCUUAUCAGCUUGUUGGUGGGGUAGUGGCUUACCAAGGCUUUGACGGGUAGCCGGCCUGAGAGGGUGACCGGCCACAUUGGGACUGAGAUACGGCCCAGACUCCUACGGGAGGCCGCAGUGGGGAAUAUUGCACAAUGGGCGGAAGCCUGAUGCAGCAACGCCGCGUGCGGGAUGACGGCCUUCGGGUUGUAAACCGCUUUCGCCUGUGACGAAGCGUGAGUGACGGUAAUGGGUAAAGAAGCACCGGCUAACUACGUG